rnacentral:rRNA from 1 species
AUUGAACGCUGGCGGCAGGCCUAACACAUGCAAGUCGAACGAGUGGCGGACGGGUGAGUAAUGUCUGGGAAACUGACCGAUGGAGGGGGAUAACUACUGGAAACGGUAGCUAAUACCGCAUACCAUCGGAUGUGCCCAGAUGGGAUUGGCUGGUGGGUGGGGUAACGGCUCACCUAGGCGACGAUCCCUAGCUGGUCUGAGAGGAGGACCAGCAAAACUGGAAUUGAGAAACGGCCCAGACUCCUACGGGAGGCAGCAGUGGGGAAUAUUGGCCAAUGGGCGCAAGCCGGAUGCAGCCAUGCGGCGGGUAUGAAGAAGGCCUUCGGGUUGUAAAGUACGUUCAGCGGGGAGGCGUUACUCGCAGAAGAAGCACCGGCUAACUCCGUGCCAGCAGCCGCGGUAAUUC